rnacentral:rRNA from 1 species
AGAUUGAACGCUGGCGGCAGGCCUAACACAUGCAAGUCGAGCGGCAGCACGGGUACUUGUACCUGGUGGCGAGCGGCGGACGGGUGAGUAAUGCCUAGGAAUCUGCCUGGGUAGUGGGGGAUAACGCUCGGAAACGGACGCUAAUACCGCAUACGUCCUACGGGAGAAAGCAGGGGACCUUCGGGCCUUGCGCUAUCAGAUGAGCCUAGGUCGGAUUAGCUAGUUGGUGAGGUAAUGGCUCACCAAGGCGACGAUCCGUAACUGGUCUGAGAGGAUGAUCAGUCACACUGGAACUGAGACACGGUCCAGACUCCGUACGGGAGCGAGCAGUGGGGAAUA